rnacentral:rRNA from 1 species
UACAGAGGUGGCAAGCGUUGUUCGGAAUUACGUGGCGUAAAGGGCGCGUAGGCGGCCUUCUAAGUCAGACGUGAAAUCCCCCGGCUUAACCUGGGAACUGCGUCUGAUACUGGGAGGCUUGAGUAUGGGAGAGGGAUGUAGAAUUCCAGGUGUAGCGGUAGAAAUGCGUAGAUAUCUGGAGGAAUACCGGUGGCGAAGGCGGCAUCCUGGACCAUUACUGACGC